rnacentral:lncRNA from 1 species
UUUAUUAUUAUCAGCAUCACCAUAUGCUCAGAACUAUUCUUUUGAAAGUAACGAAUAUGUAUAUGAAGAAGAAGAAGAGAUACAGGAAAAUUUCAGUUGGAGAUGUGGCUGGAGGUAGGUGAGGAGAGGAAACGUGUGCGUGUAGAGCAGAAAGAUUUGCUAAAAGGGUCAACCUCUGUCUUGUCUGCUACGCUGCUUGAUUCCUUGUUCUGUUUCUGUAUCAGUGCAGUGAGUGCUUCCACUAUUUCUGAAACCGCUGGUCUAAACUCCUUCUCUGCCUGCUUAUGAAAACGAAUGAUUUACUUCUUGUAUUUGUAAAUGAAGAAGCAAAUUGACAAUUAUACCUGAGUGCAUAGGGAGAUAAUGUCUGCGUAGUGUGAGGCGACUCUUGAGGAGAAUGUGCCGACUAUGCCUUGAUCAAUCAUCUGUUCUAAGCUUCGCCUGUCAUGAAGUCUGGUUGAUGCCCAUUUCACCAGCAGCUGUUCUCCUUGGGGUCGUGAGCUGCAAGAAAAACAGGUUCAAAUGCCUUGGGGCUUAUCUAUUGCACCCAGCAAGUAAUUGAAAUUGCUUUGUGUUUACCUGUCAAAUGCUUUCCUUCCUGUUAACAGUUCCAAGAGUAGCACACCCAGCGCAAAAGUGUCGCUCUUUGUGCCGCUGCUUCCUGGUUGUCCAUGUUCUGGAGCUAUGUAGCCAGUGUUUUGAAUCGCUAUCUCUGAAGCCUGCUCCAAAUCUCACAGCUCAUCAGGUAUCAGUCAAAGAACUAAACGAGACACAGAAUAAUAUACCGUUCUUUACUUACCCGAAGCUUGACACUGUUGCUUGUAAGUGGCCUCAAACUAGCAAGCCCACAGUCAGCGAUACGAGGUGUAAGUUCUUCGUCAAGCAAAAUGUUUGUUGCUUUCAGAUCGCUAUGGGCAAUAGGAAGGCUAAAUGACGAGUGCAAAUAGCUGAAAAUUAAGAUUCACCAUACAGUGUAACGUGUCAAAACAAAUCCAUGCAAGGACUGGGAAUAAGCUACUACUAUUUAUGUUUGAGAAGAUAAAGGAUACUUACUCCAGAGCUCGGGCAACUCCAAUGGGAAACGUGUGCGUGUAGAGCAGAAAGAUUUGCUAAAAGGGUCAACCUCUGUCUUGUCUGCUACGCUGCUUGAUUCCUUGUUCUGUUUCUGUAUCAGUGCAGUGAGUGCUUCCACUAUUUCUGAAACCGGUGGUCUAAACUCCUUCUCUGCCUGCUUAUGGAAACGAAUGAUUUACUUCUUGUAUUUGUAAAUGAAGAAGCUAUUGACAAUUAUACCUGAGUGCAUAGGGAGAUAAUGUCUGCGUAGUGUGAGGCGACUCUUGAGGAGAAUGUGCCGACUAUGCCUUGAUCAAUCAUCUGUUCUAAGCUUCGCCUGUCAUGAAGUCUGGUUGAUGCCCAUUUCACCAGUAGCUGUUCUCCUUCUGGUCGCGAGCUGCAAAUAGUUCAACCAAAAGGCUUAUCUAUUGCACCCAGCAAGUAUUUGAAAUGCUUUGUGUUACCUGUCGAAUGCUUUCCUUCCUGUUAACAGUUCCAAGAGUAGCACACCCAGUGCAAAAGUGUCGCUCUUUGUGCCACUGCUUCCUGGUUGUCCAUGUUCUGGUGCAAUGUAGCCAGUGUUUUGUAUCGCUAUCUCUGAAGCCUGCGCCAAAUAUUACAAAACUCAUUAGGUAUCAGUCAUUAGAAGUAAUCGAGACACAGACUAAUAUAACCGUUCUUUACUUACCCGAAGCUUGACACUGUUGCUUGUAAGUGGCCUCAAACUAGCAAGCCCACAGUCAGCAAUGCGAGGUGUAAGUUCUUCGUCUAGCAAAAUGUUUGUUGCUUUCAGAUCGCUAUGGGCAAUAGGAAGGCUAAACGACGAGUGCAAAUAGCUGAAAAUUAAGAUUCAAAGUCAAUCCAUGCAAGGAUUGGGAAUAAGCUACUAUUUAUGUUUGAGAAGAUAAGGAUACUUACUCCAGAGCUCGGGCAACUCCAAUAGCAAUGCGAAGACGCAAACCCCAUGAAAGUGGCUUGUAUACUUUGUCAUGCAUCCAUGAAGUCUGGUUGAUGCCCAUUUCACCAGUAGCUGUUCUCCUUCUGGUCGCGAGCUGCAAAUAGUUCAACCAAAAGGCUUAUCUAUUGCACCCAGCAAGUAUUUGAAAUGCUUUGUGUUACCUGUCGAAUGCUUUCCUUCCUGUUAACAGUUCCAAGAGUAGCACACCCAGUGCAAAAGUGUCGCUCUUUGUGCCACUGCUUCCUGGUUGUCCAUGUUCUGGUGCAAUGUAGCCAGUGUUUUGUAUCGCUAUCUCUGAAGCCUGCGCCAAAUAUUACAAAACUCAUUAGGUAUCAGUCAUUAGAAGUAAUCGAGACACAGACUAAUAUAACCGUUCUUUACUUACCCGAAGCUUGACACUGUUGCUUGUAAGUGGCCUUAAACUAGCAAGCCCACAGUCAGCAAUGCGAGGUGUAAGUUCUUCGUCUAGCAAAAUGUUUGUUGCUUUCAGAUCGCUAUGUGCAAUAGGAAGGCUAAACGACGAGUGCAAAUAGCUGAAAAUUUAGAUUCACCAUGUCAAAAAAAUCCAUGCACGGAUUGGGAAUAAGCUACUACUAUUAAUCUUUGAGAAGAUAAAGAUACUUACUCGGUGGCCGGAUCCUUUUCAUCUGUGGGUUAUCUUCAGGUGCAGCAGAAAAUUCUGUUACAUGCAAAGGUAAAAAAAAUCAGUAAGGAAUCAGAAUUGCAACAAUGAGGGGCAAAGAAAGGCUUAUCUUCAGGUGCAGCAGAAAAUUCUGUUACAUGCAAAGGUAAAUAAAAUCAGUCAGGAAUCAGAAUUGCAACAAUGAGGGGCAAAGAAAGGCAUAAUAGUUUCACCUCGGCCUGUACUGACUGGAAGAGUGUACGUUGUGCUAUUGUUGCUUCUGUGACUAGCGGCAAGGUUUUGUGCUCGUCGAUGAUUCAUUCCAACUGCGAAAAGUGCAAAGAAAGUUCCAAGCAAAGCCACUCCACCAACCAGUAAAACCAUACUCCCUGCUCCUAUGCCCUUCUUCUUCUUCUUUAUAACCUUCUGAGGUCUAGGAAAGUUCAUAAUGGCACUUGACUCAGUAGUUGGAUAGCCAGUAGCAUUUUGAAUCAUUGGUAUGACAUCCAAAGGGAAUUUCCACGGUUUAUAGUUGGGCUCUACAUGGAACUUGUUUCCCCAAAUCCUGCUCGGCAUAACACCAUUAAUAAUCAUGAGUCUCGGGUGUCUGAGCCAACUUUUUGAAACGAAGGGAGUAGUAAACUCACCACAGAUGAGGAAUGGACUGAAAAUGACUUGGGAUAAUACCACUGAACUGGUUAUCUUCAAUAUUCCUGAGGACAUGUGUGAGAAGAAGCGGUUUGAGCUAGAUGAAAUAAAGGAAGCUCAAUGAAAUGCAAAAUCAAAGCACAAAGAGAGAGUUAACUACAGGUCAGUUAAAGGUAGAUCCGAGAGAUAGAUGAUUGAUCCGGUAAACCUGUUGUUCUGGAGGUACCUGCAGUUUUGUUAUCACAGAAGCAAAAAACCAUUAUUAGACCUACACCUACUGCAGAAAGCAGUUUACAAAUCAAAUUCUGAGAUGCUUACAGUGAAGUCAGAUUCAACAGAGAUCCAAAAGAGCUCGGUAGAUCUCCCGUCAGGUUAUUGAAUGACAGAUCCCUGGCAAAUUCAACAUUAUAUGAAUAUGCGUGACAUUUGGUUAUCUGCAUAUCGUGAUGAAAGGCUAACAUAACUGAACCUAAGACUCACAUUUCUUUAAUUUGAAGCCCAGAAAACACAUUUCCAAGAGGUCCAGUUAAAGAAUUAUGGCUCAAAUUCCUAGAGGACAGACAGAGGAAGCCAUUACUUAGACAAAAUCAAUGAAAAAGGAAGGGCAAUGGCAGAUUUGGAAUAAGGCACUUACAGGUACACAAGAGAUGUCAAAAGAGGUAAGGAAAAAGGGAGACCCUGGGUCAGAUUGUUAUAAGCCAAGUUUCUGUAAUCGACAAACAAACAAGACAUUAGUGCAUUCCACUGCGGUGUAAGCUUAAAUGAAUGAUGAACGAACUUGGAUGAAACGCUUACAUGUGGGUAGUAUUUGGAGGCAAGCCAAACGGAAUUUCACCUUGGAGGUUAUUGAAGCUUACAUCCCUUAACACAGAGGAAAAAAAUAGUAUUCAAUGAUUCAAAGCCUCUAACAAUCAAGAAGAGGAAAGUUUGCUUACAAGUUCUUCAAAUUGUGGAGAUGUUGAAGCUGGUUUCCAAGACUCCCCAAAAGCUUUAACCCUCGUAGUUGUCUGCGGUAGCAAGCAUGAAUCAGAUUAUCUUCUUCGAACUAUGAUGAAGCUGAGGAAAAAGAGGGAAAAACUUACAGUUCUACUAUAGACGAUCCAGAACAAAAAACUCCCAUCCAGACUUCACCGCAUGGAUCUCCUCCCUCCAGUUUCCAUCCUCUCAGCUGCGGUGGAGCGUUCAGGGACUUGUAGACAUCUUGAAGAGCCGAAACUAACGAAGAAGAUACACCAAUAUAGAACGAUUACAUGAUCAAGCACCAGCCAAGAAAGCGUUUCUAUCAAUUCACUGAUCCUAGAUAACAAUCAUGAUUCCGUUCCAAUGUAAGUGAAAGUAUCAAGUCACGCUCAUUCGAAGGAACGACGGAGAACGAUCCUCAUUCGAAGAUUGAGAGGAUCUGAAAAUUACCUUCGAGCGGAUCAGUAUCGGUCUCAGCCAGCGCAAACAGCAUCGCCGUGAGCAUAACUGCAGCGAGGCGUCGCCAUUGCCGUUUGAUCGUCAUCUCCACGAAGGAGAAAGAAGAGAGAUAAUGCUUAGAUGCAGAGAACUGAUACUUUCAAGCUCCGUCGAACGAAGAAGAAAAGGAGAAAGAGAGAGAGAGAAGAGAUUCUCGGAUUUUCUCGCACUUUCUCUCUCGCCUUUUCACGGAAACCAAACAGAAAGAAAAUCCGAAGGAGAGAAGAUGCCGCCUAUAGAGUGAAGGGAGAGAUGGCGCGAAUGUUCCACGUCAGCGAAAGCAGUUACGGACGUUAGAGUCAACAAGUCAAACCAUCUUCUACCAGCGCCAAGCUUUGCCACGUGGCCGCGCAAUUCAACUUACACGUCAGCCAAUUUUCAAAAGUAAAAAAUUUUUCCAAUAAAUAAAGAGUGACCACCAAAGACUAAUACAAUCUUUUGUUAAAGACUUAAUAAUCAAAGAAGCUGUUGCUUCUUCUUCAAAUCCUCCAAAUGCUUAGGCCCAUCAGGAUGACGGCUCACAAAAUACCUCGCAAAGUCUUUAUCCGAACACGCGAGCAGAGUACUAACCGCAAGCUUAGGAUCCGCCUUGCCUCUAGCCUUAAGCCACGCAAACAUCGCGAACCUAACCUUCAUCCUCUCGAGAGUGAACUUCAAACACGAAGGGAACGCCACCAACGUCGAAAGCGGGUAGCCUAACUCCGUUACAAGGAACCUAACCUUAGUUUCCAGCACGUCGCUUGCUUGCGUGAGGAUAUUAGGAGACGCUUUCACCAUCUCUUUGACAUCUUCCUCGUCCAAACCAAACCUCACAAGAACUUCGAAUCUCUCUUUGAGCUCGGAUCCUCUCCCGCGGAAACUCUUCCCUGCUCUCUCCAUCUCCUCUGAGCCUUCCACGUACCCGAGGUCUAGCAAAAACUGAGUCUUCAUCGCUUUGGAGUCUAGGUACACUUCUGUGGCUGGUAAGGGAUGGACUUUUGAACCCAUCGUCCAUUUCUUCAUCUCCUCUGGAUUCUCUUUAACGACCUUACAAACUCUUGUUUUGUAAGCCUUUAAGUUAACGAGCAAGCUGCUUGUUUUCUUCAACGUACACGAACUAAUCCACCACGAGUGAGACCGAAACACCUUUUGGAUCUCGUCGUCCUCCAUGUCGAUCUCUUUCAGGAACAAGAAGCAUCUUCUUAGAUUCGAAACGCAUUUCUCCACUUGCAUCUGAGGGAGUUUCUGAAACAAAGAGUAGAGUUCUCUUGCGGAUAAGCCGAGUUUCGUCUCGAAUCCAGAGAGAAUCAGUGUCCAUCUCCCUGAGCUCUCAAAGAUGAGUCUCGGAUGGUUCUUGAUUAACGCAUAAAGCUCAUCCUCAUCGUUGCAUAUUACUCUAAGCAACGUUAGAGCACAAUGCACUGAGCUCCAAUCAUAAGAAACCUCCUCUGACAAGUUCUUCAUCACCCAAUCAGAAUCAAUCCCUAUAGCUCUCAGCUUCUCCACGACCCUAACAAGCUCCAUAUCCGUAUCCCCAACCAACAUUCUCGGACAACAAGCGAUAAGCUUCGACAGAAACAACCUGCUAAACCCAAAAUCCUCAUAAACCUUAAUCUUCGACGCCAAAACACCAGUCUCGUACCCGAACACAUCCCUAGCCUCCUCGAAGAUCUUCCCAAUCUUCUUGGGGUCAACUCCACAGUAACACAAAACAUGAUGAUUCUCAAGCAACAGCUCGUUCAAGAAAAUCUCACCAGAGGGGAUGAGAUGAGUGUACUCAUUAGGCUUGAGACCCGAGCUCUCGAGGAAAGGCUCGAACUCGUUGACGGGGUGAAACCUCAGAUGUUUGGUGAUGGAUUGGUUGAUGUCAGAAGCAGAGACGCAGCUCACCUUCUUGAGUAGAUUCUCGAUGAAGAUGGGACUGUUCUUGCUCAUGCUCUCGGCUACCAUGUACUGCAAGCGUAGAUGAGAUUAGGAUAGAGUUAGCUGAUGUAAAGUCAGCUAUAGUUUUUUUUAGUUGGGAUUGUGAAUGGCUAGAAAACUUAGUUUCAGAUUUUUUCUUACUGCAGGGUGUUGUCUUGUUCAAACUAUUUUUUUAUUAUUUAUGCUAUACUAAGAAACUUCCUUUUUACAAUGACAAGUUUAUUAUUAUCAUCAUCACAUGCUCUGAACUAUUGUUUUGAAAGUAACGAAUAUUUGUAUGAAGAAGAAUGAGAUACAGGAAAAGUUUCAGUUGGAGAUGUGGCUGGAGGUAGGUGAGGAGAGGAAACGUGUGCGUGUAGAGCAGAAAGAUUUGCUAAAAGGGUCAAUCUCUGUCUUGUCUGCUACGCUGCUUGAUUCCUUGUUCUGUUUCUGUAUCAGUGAAGUGAGUGCUUCCAC